rnacentral:tRNA from 1 species
GGCUUGUUGGUCUAGGGGCAUGAUUCUUGCUUAGGCUGUGAGAGGUCACUGAUUCAAAUCCAGGACGAGCCC